rnacentral:misc_RNA from 1 species
GGGGAACCUGCGGCUGGAUCACCUCCUUUCUAAGGAAGCUGUGGAACUGGUAAGACACCGAGACUUGUCUCGGGUGAACCUUCCCGUGCUUUUUAGAACAUAGAUGGCACCAGUCAGGUGACCAUCGCAACGUAAUACGCCGCGUAGACUUCGGUCACGACGGUAUGGCGAGCUUUCGCCGUCCACGUUUCUCUUUCUUCAAAAGGAUAUCGAACCAUUGGUUUGCGCUCACGCACGUACCGCCCUUUGGGCUGUGCUCCGCGGGGGCGCCGGACGACCGGCGACGGCCUCUGGCCUGUAUGGGAGAGCCUUCAUAGGCUUGAAGUUCGGCGAGAUGGGCCCGUAGCUCAGUUGGUUAGAGCACACGCUUGAUAAGCGUGGGGUCGGAAGUUCAAGUCUUCCCGGGCCCACCAUUUGCAUAUGCGAAUGAGAUUUGCUGUAGCGAAUUGUGGUUUGUUUGGGUUUACCUGAUCCUGACGGUUUGCUGUCAGGUGUUUGCGAUGGUUGGGGCUGUAGCUCAGCUGGGAGAGCACCUGCUUUGCAAGCAGGGGGUCAGCGGUUCGAUCCCGCUCAGCUCCACCAAUUCGCUUGGUGUCGAGACUGAGAGAUAUCCUUUGAAGAAAAUAAAAGUUUGCAUCGGCUUCGGCCUGAUGCCUGUUCUGCAUACAUUGUGAAGAGAAGAUUGAUCUGGAGGCUUCCAGGUGUUUUGGGUUUUGCCCAGGACGUCCGAGCCCAGUUCUGAUGAUCCCUUGGAUGGCCUAGCCGGCCGGAUAUGGGUGAAGGACUGGAGGUAGGAAGGAAGCUUGUCGCUCUGGAUCGUUUGUUGUUCGCUGCCUUUGGGCAUCGUCUGAUGAACGAUCGGAUUACCGUUGCCUGACCGCGCGGUAUCGGAUCCAAUCUCGAGAAGCUGGUCUUAAGACAGGCUGCAAGUGGGCUGCUCGGCGUAGCUCCAAUAAAGCAGACCUGUCGAACACGUCGAUGGCAUCAACGAAUGGCCUGGGUUGUAAAAGGUAACCCUGGCUGCUGCAUCCCUUCGGGAUGUCGGCUAAGUGAUGAGCAUUGGCAAUGAGAACGAUUAAGUGUCGUAAGGGCAUUUGGUGGAUGCCUUGGCAUGCACAGGCGAUGAAGGACGUGAUACGCUGCGAAAAGCCGUGGGGAGCUGCGAAUGAGCUUUGAUCCAUGGAUCU